GUGAGCUGCAGAAGGCUCAGAGCACUGCAGCAUCCUGUGUCCCAAUUUUGUGUCUCCUGCAGUGAUCCUUUGCCUACACAGAGAUGGAGUGGCAACAGCAUUGCCACAGCUAUUUCAGCAUUAGCUCAGAACAAGCAAAUGGUAACAGAAUGUUUGUGGCAGCUUCACAAUUUCUUUAAACCACUUUUAUCCUGGUACAUGAAAAUUGCCCAAAUUUUCAGUUCACAAACUAAGUACUAAUCCGUUCUGUGCCUCACAUUUUAAAGACAUUGCAUAAUUCUCUGGCAUCCAGCCACAAAAACUCUCCUUUGAAGAAAAGCUUUGGGGAAUGACAACAUUAAGAAGCAGGGCUUAAAGGACUUGAAGUGACCAGCCUCUCUGGAGUCCACUAAUAUUGCCCCAGCAAUAAAUGCUGGGGUAAUUAUAUUUUUAUAGUCAUGGAGAGCUUUGUAAGCUUUCCAUGACAGAAAUGAAAAGACAGCGUCCCUGCCCCAAUUAACUCACUUCAGUUGCAAUGCCAUGGAGGAGGAUGGGUAACAAACCAGAAUAGAACAAGUAGAUUUUGUGAGGACUCAUGCCCUAAUUUUGACAAAGUUACACAGGAACUGAGGAAGCAUAAAGUCAUCUUCAGAAGAACAUCUAGUUACUCAGCAAAGGCCUUGCAUAGCAGGAGACAGAGAGAAGAAAACAAUUUUUAGGAAAACUGUAAAAGCAGAUAUUUUUUUUCUUCCUGGCAAUUUUCUUGAGACCUGGAAAGAAAAGUGGAACAAUGAGCAAAGAGGAAAAACAUAACUGAGCUGAGCAGCACAUCAUCUGGUACAGGAUAUUCUGAGCAUGGGGCAAAGAACGGAAAAAAACAGAGCGACGGGGGAGCUGCAGCUGCAGGGGGAAAAUGCAAGAGUAAUUUCCUGGGAGGUCACAAAAAGCUGCACUGGUAAAAAAACUUCUGCAUUGCAAGGAGCAACCUGACUCUGCAGUGAGAGAAAUCAAAGGCUUGCUUUCAGAAUUGCCUGCUCCUUGGAAAGAGGAACAUGUGAAAUUGGUUAGUU